AUUCGAGAGGACAGCACCACGAAAACUUCACCGGAAAAUCAUCGAAAAAUCUCCAAAAAUUACUUUUAGCAGAGGACUAUGCGCGGAAUCUGGGUUUUGACCUUUAGAAGAGAGCCAAUUCUGGAGAACAACCUAACUUCUUUGACUUGAAUACUCAAUCAAUUGGAACAUGAUAGAAGAUUAAGAUUUAAUAACAAUAAAUGAAGACCGCAAUAAAAAGGCCCCCCUACGUACCCCAACAAAUAAUUACUUCGUGCUGUGCCUAGAAUGCCCUUUAGUUCUACAUACGAAAAUGUUGAUGCUUCCCAUCAAAUUAUACCCAGAAAAAUAGGUGCAUUGUACGGAUCCUCAUCCAUGACUUUGCCAUUGUUUAAGAUAAGAGCUUUUUGUAAAACCAAUUCAUUCCUAAGUAGGAAAACGGGAGAUGAAGGAGGAAAUUUAGUAUUUGUGCUACUUGUGCUAAACAUGCUGGAGACAAACUGCUUUGUAUUUUAGGAUAUGUGCCUGCUGUCAAGAGCUAGUGUGAUUAAAAAGAAGUGAUUAAAAACC